UACGAAGGGUGCAAACGUUGCUCGGAAUUAUUGGGCGUAAAGCGCACGUAGGCGGCUUUGCAAGUCCGAUGUGAAAUCUUAUGGCUUAACCAUAAAAGUGCAUCGGAAACUGCAGAGCUUGAGUACUUAAAGAGGAUCGCGGAAUUCCCGGUGUAGAGGUGAAAUUCGUAGAUAUCGGGAGGAACACCAGUGGCGAAGGCGGCUCUCUGGGACGGUACUGACGCUGAGACGCGAAAGCGUGGGGAGCGAACAGG
rnacentral:rRNA from 1 species